ACAUGCAAGUCGAGCGGUAACACAANGGAGCUUGCUCCUGAGGUGACGAGCGGCGGACGGGUGAGUAAUGCCUAGGUAUCUGCCCAGUCGAGGGGGAUAACAGGUGGAAACGACUGCUAAUACCGCAUACGCCCUACGGGGGAAAGGAGGGGACCUUCGGGCCUUCCGCGAUUGGAUGAACCUAGGUGGGAUUAGCUAGUUGGUGAGGUAAUGGCUCACCAAGGCGACGAUCCCUAGCUGGUCUGAGAGGAUGAUCAGCCACACUGGAACUGAGACACGGUCCAGACUCCUACGGGAGGCAGCAGUGGGGAAUAUUGCACAAUGGGCGAAAGCCUGAUGCAGCCAUGCCGCGUGUGUGAAGAAGGCCUUCGGGUUGUAAAGCACUUUCAGCGAGGAGGAAAGGUUAGUGAUUAAUACUCACUAGCUGUGACGUUACUCGCAGAAGAAGCACCGGCUAACUUCGUGCCAGCAGCCGCGGUAAUACGAGGGGUGCAAGCGUUAAUCGGAAUUACUGGGCGUAAAGCGUACGCAGGCGGCUUGUUAAGCGAGAUGUGAAAGCCCCGGGCUCAACCUGGGAACUGCAUUUCGAACUGCCAAACUAGAGUCUUGUAGAGGGGG
rnacentral:rRNA from 1 species